rnacentral:rRNA from 1 species
AGCGAACGCUGGCGGCAGGCCUAACACAUGCAAGUCGAACGAUCCUUCGGGAUAGUGGCGGACGGGUGAGUAACACGUGGGAACGUGCCCUUUGGUUCGGAACAACUCAGGGAAACUUGAGCUAAUACCGGAUGUGCCCUUCGGGGGAAAGAUUUAUCGCCAUUGGAGCGGCCCGCGUAGGAUUAGCUGGUUGGUGGGGUAAUGGCCCACCAAGGCUCCGAUCCUUAGCUGGUCUGAGAGGAUGAUCAGCCACACUGGGACUGAGACACGGCCCAGACUCCUACGGGAGGCAGCAGUGGGGAAUCUUGCGCAAUGGGCGAAAGCCUGACGCAGCCAUGCCGCGUGAAUGAUGAAGGUCUUAGGAUUGUAAAAUUCUUUCACCGGGGACGAUAAUGACGGUACCCGGAGAAGAAGCCCCGGCUAACUACGUGCCAGCCGCCGCAGUAAAAC